UACGGGGGGGGCAAGCGUUGUUCGGAAUUACUGGGCGUAAAGGGCUCGUAGGCGGCCAACUAAGUCAGACGUGAAAUCCCCAGGCUCAACCUGGGAACUGCGUCUGAUACUGGAUGGCUUGAAUUCGGGAGAGGGAUGCAGAAUUCCAGGUGUAGCGGUGAAAUGCGUAGAUAUCUGGAGGAAUACCGGUGGCGAAGGCGGCAUCCUGGACCGAGAUUGACGCUGAGGCGCGAAAGCCAGGGGAGCAAACGGG
rnacentral:rRNA from 1 species